CUUCAGUUUAUUUGGCGCAUUAUUUCGACAAACAUUUUCGACUUUCCAAUAGACCAUAAUCCUUUGCGGUCCAGGGUGACUUCCGGUUUAUUUCCGGGUUAUAACGAAGUACAAUAACAGCAGACUAAUUAUCAUUCCAGAUAUUAUUCAAAUAUGCUGAUGUUAUCUUCUGAGAUCAUUGCUUUCAAUGAAGAACAUCACUACAAUUGGUUGGACUGCUAGAUUGGUAGCAACGUGAUGGACAGCUAGUGCCUGUUGAAACACUAAUGUUGGUUGGGCAUCUAUUGCUUACUGGGCCGCUAUAUUGGAUGGACCAUACGUGUUGAUUGAACAAUUAUAAAUGGUUGGACCGGAAGUGUUGGUUGGACCACCAGUGUUGUUUGGACUGCUUGUUGGACAGAAUGUGUGAUGGACAACUAGUGUUAUUUGAAUCACUGUUGGAUAGACAGUUAUUGUUGUUUGGACAGCUAUAAUCAGUUGAUUUACAAGUUUUGGUUGAACAAUAUUUAAUGGAAGCACAUUUUAAGUGUUGGUUGGACUGCAUUUAAUGGAUGGAUAUCUCAGACUACUUGUGCCUGAUUUGACCAAAAUGAAGUGAUGAAGUGAUGAUUGAACUGCUACUGUAGGUUGUCAGGUCAUAUUGGUUGGAUUCCCAUUGCUAGUACUUGUUGGAUCUUUUUGUUGGUUAAAUUAACUGUUGUUUUUUGAGUGUUAUUAUUAAUGAUAUUCAUACAUGUAUAAUAUGUUUAAUAUGUGCUUAGUAUUCAACACUUAUGAUGAUGAUUAUUAUUAUAAGAGAUAUUAUUAUUCAGUAAUCAUAAAUAAUUAUAAAUAUAUAUAAUUAAAUAAAAAAAAUUAUGUCCUUGUA